GAUGAAGAACGUAGCGAAAUGCGAUAAGUAAUGUGAAUUGCAGAAUUCAGUGAAUCAUCGAAUCUUUGAACGCACAUUGCGCCCGCCAGUAUUCUGGCGGGCAUGCCUGUUCGUGCGUCAUUACAACCCUCAGGCCCCCGGGCCUGGCGUUGGGGAUCGGCGGAGCCCCCCGUGGGCACACGCCGUCCCCCAAAUGCAGUGGCGGUCCCGCCGCAGCUUCCAUCGCGUAGUAGCUAACACCUCGCGACUGGAGAGCGGCGCGGCCACGCCGUAAAACACCCAACUCUUCUGAAGUUGACCUCGAAUCAGGUAGGAAUACCCGCUGAACUUAAGCAUAUCAAUAAGCGGAGGA
rnacentral:misc_RNA from 1 species